GGAGAGAUGGCUGAGUGGUUGAUAGCUCCGGUCUUGAAAACCGGUAUAGUUCUAGGAACUAUCGAG
rnacentral:tRNA from 1 species